rnacentral:rRNA from 1 species
GACGAACGCUGGCGGCGUGCUUAACACAUGCAAGUCGAACGAUGAAGCCAGCUUGCUGGUGGAUUAGUGGCGAACGGGUGAGUAACACGUGGGUGAUCUGCCCCAAACUUUGGGAUAAGCCUGGGAAACUGGGUCUAAUACCGAAUAUGACCGAUACUCGCAUGGGUGUUGGUGGAAAGCUCCGGCGGUUUGGGAUGGGCCCGCGGCCUAUCAGCUUGUUGGUGGGGUAAUGGCCUACCAAGGCGACGACGGGUAGCCGGCCUGAGAGGGCGACCGGCCACACUGGGACUGAGACACGGCCCAGACUCCUACGGGAGGCAGCAGUGGGGAAUAUUGCACAAUGGGCGCAAGCCUGAUGCAGCGACGCCGCGUGAGGGAUGACGGCCUUCGGGUUGUAAACCUCUUUCACCAGGGACGAAGCGAAAGUGACGGUACCUGGAGAAGAAGCACCGGCAAACUACGU